CCCUUGGUAGUCUAGUUGGUUAUGGCGUUCGGCUGUAAUUGUAAAUCAAAUCAUGAUUGUUACCGAAAAGUCGCUGGUUCGAUUCCGGCCCGAGGGA